GUGGGGAAUCUUGCGCAAUGGGCGAAAGCCUGACGCAGCCAUGCCGCGUGAAUGAUGAAGGUCUUAGGAUUGUAAAAUUCUUUCACCGGGGACGAUAAUGACGGUACCCGGAGAAGAAGCCCCGGCUAACUUCGUGCCAGCAGCCGCGGUAAUACGAAGGGGGCUAGCGUUGCUCGGAAUUACUGGGCGUAAAGGGCGCGUAGGCGGACAGUUUAGUCAGAGGUGAAAGCCCAGGGCUCAACCUUGGAAUUGCCUUUGAUACUGGCUGUCUUGAGUACGGGAGAGGUGGGUGGAACUCCGAGUGUAGAGGUGAAAUUCGUAGAUAUUCGGAAGAACACCAGUGGCGAAGGCGACUCACUGGCCCGUUACUGACGCUGAGGCGCGAAAGCGUGGGGAGCAAACAGGAUUAGAUACCCUGGUAGUCC
rnacentral:rRNA from 1 species